UAGGGUGACCAACUCACUCUGGUUUGCCUGGGACUAUCCUGAUUUUAGAACGGGAAGUUCCAUGUCUCAGAAAACCCCACCGUCCCAGGCAAACCAGAAUGAGUUGGUCACCCUACUUGAAU
rnacentral:pre_miRNA from 1 species